GUCUACAGCCAUACCACCCUGAACACUCCCGAUCUUGACUGAUCUUGGAAGAUGAGGAGGGUUGGGCCUGGUUAGCCAACGUUUCCAGAAUCUGAGUCU
rnacentral:rRNA from 1 species